GAUCUCCCGGGGGAGACGCAGGAUGACGGCCAGGCUAACGACCUUGCCAGACUCGCGGAGAGGAGGUGCAUGGCCGUCGCCAGCUCGUGUUGUGAAAUGUCCGGUUAAGUCCGGCAACGAGCGAGACCCCCACUUCUAGUUGGUAGCCGUCCCUCCGGGGAUGGCCCACACUAGAAGGACUGCCGGUGUUAAACCGGAGGAAAGGAGGGGGCCACGGCAGGUCAGCAUGCCCCGAAACCUCCGGGCCGCACGCGGGUUACAAUGGCAGGG
rnacentral:rRNA from 1 species